GGAGAGUUGUCCGAGUGGUUGAAGGAGCACGCCUGGAAAGCGUGUAUACGGGUCCCCGUAUCGAGGGUUCAAAUCCCUCACUCUCCG
rfam:Megamonas funiformis YIT 11815 genomic scaffold supercont1.5, whole genome shotgun sequence.